CAUUUCAGAUUUUUUUCAAUUAUUCCCACGAUUUUACGUAUGUGCCUUGUUGCGUUCUAAUCUGUUGUUGUUCUUCCCAUCUGCGAAAUUUGUACCCAUCUUCCAAAAAAUUCAAUCGAAAAAACCAGAAACCAAAAUCAGUUACAUAUUGAUAGAAGUAUAGAGAGAAGGAAAGUUGGAGUAUUUGAUAGAAUUUGCAGAAACCAACGAAGAGCCCACAUUUUCGCAUCUUGAGAAUGAUAGGAAGAGAAUGUUAAACCCUUGCGUGAGGUACCCAAAUUGAAAGAAUGCUUCUCAAAAUUCACGAAAAUAAUAACUCAAGUCUUAAAUCUUUCCAGCUUUGCAAAGGAGAUUCAAGAGCUUGUUUAAUGGGAUAAUGUCUGCUCUUAGUUUUUCUCCUUCAAAGGAAAAAUUGUGGCGGUAGAGUUCCUCUUGCAAGGUUGACUGGUUGGACUAGGGAUGCAAAGUUUUACGAUUCAAUCACAGAAACAUGGGAUGCAAAGCUUUCAAGUGGUGGAUGAACCAGAUGGAACUGCUUAAUGAAAUUGAUAGCUUGAAGGUGAUAAUUGAUAAACAAGGCUAUGAGCUGUGACAGAAAGAAAAUGAACAUGGCAAGGGGACAGGGGAAAAAUCAGUGAACACCUGUGUUGUUAUUGUUGCUGUUUCCUGUUUUUUCAUGAUUUUAGGAAUGUUUUUAGUGAUUAAGAUAGGCUAGUAUAGUUGGUUAGGGUAAGAAUCAACCAUGCUCAAAGAAGUAGAGCGUUUAGGUUGUUGGAUUGAAGUUGUAAGGGCUUGAAAAUUGUAAGUUUCCGGUGGUUGAAUGAAAUAAGAUGCAGUUUCGAGUAAUUAAACAUA